GGGUUGUGAGGUUAAGCGACUAAGCGUACACGGUGGAUGCCCUGGCAGUCAGAGGCGAUGAAGGACGUGCUAAUCUGCGAUAAGCGCCGGUAAGGUGAUAUGAACCGUUAUAACCGGCGAUUUCCGAAUGGGGAAACCCAGUGUGAUUCGUCACACUAUCAUUAACUGAAUCCAUAGGUUAAUGAGGCGAACCGGGGGAACUGAAACAUCUAAGUACCCCGAGGAAAAGAAAUCAACCGAGAUUCCCCCAGUAGCGGCGAGCGAACGGGGAGGAGCCCAGAGCCUGAAUCAGCAUGUGUGUUAGUGGAAGCGUCUGGAAAGGCGCGCGAUACAGGGUGACAGCCCCGUACACAAAAGCGCACAUGCUGUGAGCUCGAUGAGUAGGGCGGGACACGUGGUAUCCUGUCUGAAUAUGGGGGGACCAUCCUCCAAGGCUAAAUACUCCUGACUGACCGAUAGUGAACCAGUACCGUGAGGGAAAGGCGAAAAGAACCCCGGCGAGGGGAGUGAAAAAGAACCUGAAACCGUGUACGUACAAGCAGUGGGAGCACCCUUUGGGGUGUGACUGCGUACCUUUUGUAUAAUGGGUCAGCGACUUAUAUUCUGUAGCAAGGUUAACCGUAUAGGGGAGCCGCAGGGAAACCGAGUCUUAACCGGGCGUUAAGUUGCAGGGUAUAGACCCGAAACCCGGUGAUCUAGCCAUGGGCAGGUUGAAGGUUGGGUAACACUAACUGGAGGACCGAACCGACUAAUGUUGAAAAAUUAGCGGAUGAUCUGUGGCUGGGGGUGAAAGGCCAAUCAAACCGGGAGAUAGCUGGUUCUCCCCGAAAGCUAUUUAGGUAGCGCCUCGUGAAUUCAUCUCCGGGGGUAGAGCACUGUUUCGGCUAGGGGGCCAUCCCGGCUUACCAACCCGAUGCAAACUGCGAAUACCGGAGAAUGUUAUCACGGGAGACACACGGCGGGUGCUAACGUCCGUCGUGAAGAGGGAAACAACCCAGACCGCCAGCUAAGGUCCCAAAGUCAUGGUUAAGUGGGAAACGAUGUGGGAAGGCCCAGACAGCCAGGAUGUUGGCUUAGAAGCAGCCAUCAUUUAAAGAAAGCGUAAUAGCUCACUGGUCGAGUCGGCCUGCGCGGAAGAUGUAACGGGGCUAAACCAUGCACCGAAGCUGCGGCAGCGACACUGUGUGUUGUUGGGUAGGGGAGCGUUCUGUAAGCCUGUGAAGGUGUGUCGUGAGGCAUGCUGGAGGUAUCAGAAGUGCGAAUGCUGACAUAAGUAACGAUAAAGCGGGUGAAAAGCCCGCUCGCCGGAAGACCAAGGGUUCCUGUCCAACGUUAAUCGGGGCAGGGUGAGUCGACCCCUAAGGCGAGGCCGAAAGGCGUAGUCGAUGGGAAACGGGUUAAUAUUCCCGUACUUGGUGUUACUGCGAAGGGGGGACGGAGAAGGCUAUGUUGGCCGGGCGACGGUUGUCCCGGUUUAAGCGUGUAGGUGUGUGUUCCAGGUAAAUCCGGUUCACUUUAACACUGAGGCGUGACGACGAGGCACUACGGUGCUGAAGCAACAAAUGCCCUGCUUCCAGGAAAAGCCUCUAAGCAUCAGGUAACAUCAAAUCGUACCCCAAACCGACACAGGUGGUCAGGUAGAGAAUACCAAGGCGCUUGAGAGAACUCGGGUGAAGGAACUAGGCAAAAUGGUGCCGUAACUUCGGGAGAAGGCACGCUGACACGUAGGUGAAGUGAUUUACUCAUGGAGCUGAAGUCAGUCGAAGAUACCAGCUGGCUGCAACUGUUUAUUAAAAACACAGCACUGUGCAAACACGAAAGUGGACGUAUACGGUGUGACGCCUGCCCGGUGCCGGAAGGUUAAUUGAUGGGGUCAGCGCAAGCGAAGCUCCUGAUCGAAGCCCCGGUAAACGGCGGCCGUAACUAUAACGGUCCUAAGGUAGCGAAAUUCCUUGUCGGGUAAGUUCCGACCUGCACGAAUGGCGUAAUGAUGGCCAGGCUGUCUCCACCCGAGACUCAGUGAAAUUGAACUCGCUGUGAAGAUGCAGUGUACCCGCGGCAAGACGGAAAGACCCCGUGAACCUUUACUAUAGCUUGACACUGAACAUUGAGCCUUGAUGUGUAGGAUAGGUGGGAGGCUUUGAAGUGUGGACGCCAGUCUGCAUGGAGCCGACCUUGAAAUACCACCCUUUAAUGUUUGAUGUUCUAACGUGGACCCGUAAUCCGGGUUGCGGACAGUGUCUGGUGGGUAGUUUGACUGGGGCGGUCUCCUCCUAAAGAGUAACGGAGGAGCACGAAGGUUGGCUAAUCCUGGUCGGACAUCAGGAGGUUAGUGCAAUGGCAUAAGCCAGCUUGACUGCGAGCGUGACGGCGCGAGCAGGUGCGAAAGCAGGUCAUAGUGAUCCGGUGGUUCUGAAUGGAAGGGCCAUCGCUCAACGGAUAAAAGGUACUCCGGGGAUAACAGGCUGAUACCGCCCAAGAGUUCAUAUCGACGGCGGUGUUUGGCACCUCGAUGUCGGCUCAUCACAUCCUGGGGCUGAAGUAGGUCCCAAGGGUAUGGCUGUUCGCCAUUUAAAGUGGUACGCGAGCUGGGUUUAGAACGUCGUGAGACAGUUCGGUCCCUAUCUGCCGUGGGCGCUGGAGAACUGAGGGGGGCUGCUCCUAGUACGAGAGGACCGGAGUGGACGCAUCACUGGUGUUCGGGUUGUCAUGCCAAUGGCACUGCCCGGUAGCUAAAUGCGGAAGAGAUAAGUGCUGAAAGCAUCUAAGCACGAAACUUGCCCCGAGAUGAGUUCUCCCUGAGACUUAAAGUCUCCUGAAGGAACGUUGAAGACGACGACGUUGAUAGGCCGGGUGUGUAAGCGCAGCGAUGCGUUGAGCUAACCGGUACUAAUGAACCGUGAGGCUUAACCUUACAACGCCGAAG
rnacentral:rRNA from 1 species